rnacentral:rRNA from 1 species
AGGACGAACGCUGGCGGCGCGCUUAAUACAUGCAAGUCGAGCGAGAACCAGGGCUUCGGCCCUGGGGACAGCGGCGAACGGGUGAGUAACACGUGGGUAAUCAACCCCCGACACCGGGAUAGCCCAGGGAAACUUGGAUUAAUACCGGAUGCUCCAUCUGGCUUUCGAGCGGCUGGAAGUAGCUCGCUCG